CAAUAGUGUCCACCGCCUUUAAUCAGAAAAAACUGCUUAACAAAUUGUUUUGCUAAGCAUAAAUUGAGUGGGGCAACAGUCUGUUUAAACCUAUUCCCUAACGUAAUUUUGGCUGGUGACCUUUUUUUGCUAAGCAAUACUUUUCUGUGCCUAGCUAAUUUUGUUGUGCAUUGCUCACUUUUGAAUUAAUUAUACUGUAGUUUUAAUGUCGCUGUUACUAGUAACUACCACUAUCUUUGGGGUAAAGGUUAAAUCAAUAAGCAAUUCAUUAUGACACAACCAUUUUAUUUGUCUUUAGUUCAAACCAGAGUAACCAAUAACAAGACAAACCAGACUUAAUGAAAUCAGCAUAAGAACUGUCAUUGUCACUGUGGGCGUCGGGGACCCGACUGUUGCAGCAAAGUCAAUAAUGUCAAGAUGUCUGUAUAAACAUUCUCAGAAUGCAUGACUUUCCGAGCUGACGAAGUGUUCAACUGGGAGGAGGAGAAAUGUGAACAUAAAACCAGAUGUUUAUAUCUCAGUGUGAGGCAAGGAAGGUCAAGUGGAAGAGAGCAAUUGGAGUACAUCAGAUAGGAACACGGGACGGCAAAGAAUGAUGGAAGGUGUUUCGAUUACGGCUCAGUGGAAGAUUGACAUGUUGGCUGUUGUAGCGGUGAGCUUGGUUGUCAGUUUGAUGUACAUUUUCUGCAUCUGGAAUGGGUGAGACUCAACAUACUGUGGACUGGUGUUGGGCGCUUCAAUACCAAGAUGUGAAUGUGGAACCUUGAUGAGGAUCCAGCCUGUGACUCACACAAUCAUACCAUCAUAUUAACCAGCAACAUCUCCUGUGUA